UUGGCUGAGCUCCGAUCAGAUGUUGGAGGUGUGGCAUCAACAGGACUAAUCUAAUCUGGCGUACGGUCAACAAAAUGUCACGUCUGAAAGAACCGGUUUGAUCCAGCGGAGGAGAGAAGAAACGGAGAACAAACAGCGUUCUCAUUUCAGUCUGCGAUGACGGAGGAGAAGAGAAGAGUCCAAACUACAGCAGAGGGUGAUCUGCUGGCGUGAGGCUCAACAUGCGGCUCGGUGAGGACGAGGACGAGCGGGAGGAAGAGUGUGCAGCCUGCAGCCGAUGCAGGACCUCCGAGGAUCCCCGAAUCAGCCUCCGACUCCCGGCUGCAGAUGAGGAGAAACCAUUUCCUACCGCCAUUUAUCUGCUGAUGAAACACAAUCAAAAGCUGAUUGAUUUCGACUUGGACCUGGAGCCUUCAGGGGAGAAACUGGUGUGCAAGAGGACGAGGAGUUUGCCAGACCGUCCGUAUUUCUAGACUCCAGGCUGAACUCUACAGUUAUGAUGCUGCCAAGAGGAAUGACUCCAUGAAGAGUGGCCAUCGAUGGGAAACCCGAGAUUCUUUCAUUCUGCUCAUGCUGCUCGUCGAUGACGUUGUGGAGCGGGAACAGCGCUACGUUCGUUCAGACCUCCAGCUGGAGAUAAAAAUCCAAAAUGAGCUUUUGCACUUAGAUUGUAAUCGUGUCUGAAUUUCUGCACGUUUUAUUUCAAUUUAAUCUUUUGCGAGUGUUGCUAUGACGCUAAAAAACAGAGCAAGACACUUGAAGUUUUUUUUGUUGCUUUUUCUGAAUUGUGUUUUUUUCAAUGUUUUUGCCGUUUUUAUCUGACGUUUUUGGCACUUUUUAAGAUAUUUUUGUCGCUUAUUUGGUGACGUGCAGAUUCAGGAGAAGCACACUACAGCAGUGCUUACAUUACAUACACACCACAUGUAGCUACAUGCUAACGUCAGAGAAAUCUGUAAUCUUGGUUGCAGAUGUAGUUAAUUUCCCCCCAAUUUUGGAUCACAGGUACGUUUAUUCAGACCCCCAGGCAGACAAAAAUCCAAACUGAGCUUUUGCACUAAGAUUGUAAUCGUGUCUGAAUUUCUGCACGUUUUAUUUCAAUUUAAUCUUUUGCGAGUGUUGCUAUGACGCUAAAAAGCAGAGCAAAGCCGCAAAGAUCUUUGUCGCUGUUUUCAACGUUUUAUUCUACGGAUUUUGGUGUUUCCGACAUUU